UGAUUAUUAUUUUAAAUAGCUUAAUUUUGUUAAAUUCAUGAUAAUUUCAUUUUUAAUCCAAAAAAUAUGGGACUUUUACCAAAAAUCUUUAAAUAAUUUCCUCUUCCAUAUUUUGAAUUAAAAUCAUUUUUUUUGGAUUAGAUUUGAUAUUUUUGGUAAAUUUAAUAGUUUUUGACUUGUUUUUAAAUAUUUUUAAAUACU
rnacentral:lncRNA from 1 species